GACAUAGGUUGCGAACGUUAUCCGGAAUUAUUGGGCGUAAAGGAUGCGUAGAUGGUUUGAUAAGUUAUCAGUGGCAAAUCGGGGCUCAACCUCAUGGAAGUUGGUAAUACUGUCAUACUCGAGUGCAGGAGAAGUUAACGGAACUCUAUAUGGAGCGGUAAAAUGUGACGAUAUAUAGAAGAACACCAAUAAGGCGAAGGCAGUUAACUAGUCUGUUACUGACAUUGAGGCAUGAAAGCGUGGGGAGCAAAACGG
rnacentral:rRNA from 1 species